GUCCUGGUUGAUCAGUGGUGAAAUCAUCCCACUUACUUGGUGGAGACUAAACAUCGCUGUGGAAAGUGGGAGGUUCGAAUCCUCUCAAGGACA
rnacentral:tRNA from 1 species